GCAUUAACUUUUUCUGCGGAUUGACUGGCCAGUUUCAUUGUUCAUUGCAUAUUUUCUGGAGAUUUGUUUGGCUCGCCUUCGCAGGCAAAUCUGGUCGCUUUGAAGGUCAUGAGAUUUAUGUAAACUCCUUUCUUUCAUCAGUGCGGAGCAAAAGAAAUUUUUCUCGUAGCUCAAUGGUAAAAAUACAUGGUUUGGUGUUGUUCGUUUGUUUUGAUAGUCCGUCUUUUGGGUUAACUUAUGUCGUUUGUCCUCCUAGAAGUUUUAAAAGGAACUGCCAUAAUUUCGAGUAUUGAGCAAUUGACAAACACAUAAACUGGCUCACCCCUG
rnacentral:sRNA from 1 species